UGGGGAAUAUUGCACAAUGGAGGGAACUCUGAUGCAGCGACGCCGCGUGAGUGAUGAAGGAAUUCGUUUCGUAAAACUCUGUUCUAUGGGAAGAAAAGGACUGUACCAUAGGAGAAAGCUCCGGCUAAAUACGUGCCAGCAGCCGCGGUAAUACGUAUGGAGCGAGCGUUGUCCGGAAUUAUUGGGCGUAAAGGGUGCGCAGGCGGCUUUACAAGUUGGAUGUGAAAUAUUGUGGCUCAACCACAAACGUGCAUCCAAAACUGCAAAGCUUGAGUUAAGGAGAGGUAAGUGGAAUUCCUGGUGUAGCGGUGGAAUGCGUAGAUAUCAGGAGGAAUACCGGUGGCGAAGGCGACUUACUGGACUUAAACUGACGCUCAGGCACGCAAGCGUGGGGAGCAAACAGG
rnacentral:rRNA from 1 species